UUUUUAUUUUGAGAAAAGAUCAAUGCAUUCUUCUUUGGCACCUCAGAAACUGAUAGAUGACAAAUUACACGAGUUUGACAGUUUACCCAGAACGAGAAAGAAAGAGUUACAUACCACACAUCCACACAACAUAUAUAGCGGAUUUCACAUAGCUACUCACACAGGUAGGCAUGCGACUGAAACAUUCCAUGCAUUACAUGCGUUUUCGCCAAUCAAAUCAAAUUCAAAACAUGCAUGCACAGUUGCACACAUGUGCAGAACUUCAGACUGCAGCGUUGCACGUAAAGAAACCUGCACUUGUUGCAAGUACUACUACGGAGUACUUCCUUUCUUUGUCUGAAGUCUGAACAUCUCCCUUCCCUUCUCAGCACUUACCAGAAUAACCUACCGAGCUAUGGUUAUGCACCUUCUCCUUCCUCACCAUCAUCAACCCGAACAGUCCGCCCCUGGCAACCUGCUUGUUGCGCUCUCCGGAACCGCCGUUGUUCCGCCCUUCUGCCGCCAUUGCUUCCUCAAUUGUCGCCAGCCUCUCCCUGCACGCCUUCCUGAGCAUGUAGGCCUCAACGAAGUGGCCUCCUAUCAUCGAUGCCAUCUGACGAUCGAUCCUAUCUGGUUCACGGUUCUCCUGGAGAGACUGG
rnacentral:lncRNA from 1 species